GAGUUUGAUCCUGGCUCAGAUUGAACGCUGGCGGCAGGCCUAACACAUGCAAGUCGAGCGGUAACAGAGAGAAGCUUGCUUCUUUGCUGACGAGCGGCGGACGGGUGAGUAACGCGUAAGGAAUCUACCUAUUAGUGGGGGAUAAGCCAGAGAAAUUUGGUCUAAUACCGCAUACGCCCUACGGGGGAAAGGAGGGGAUCUUCGGACCUUUCGCUAUUAGAUGAGCCUGCGUAAGAUUAGCUAGUUGGUGCGGUAAUGGCUCACCAAGGCGACGAUCUUUAGCUGGUCUGAGAGGAUGAUCAGCCACACUGGGACUGAGACACGGCCCAGACUCCUACGGGAGGCAGCAGUGGGGAAUAUUGGACAAUGGGGGGAACCCUGAUCCAGCCAUGCCGCGUGUGUGAAGAAGGCCUUCGGGUAGUCAAGCACUUUCAGAUGUGAGGAACGGUGAGUAAUUAAUACCUGCUUACUGUGACGUAAGCAUCAGAAGAAGGACCGGCUAACUCCGUGC
rnacentral:rRNA from 1 species